CAGACUGCUGUGCUAGCAAUCAGCGAGACUCCGUGGGCGUAGGACCCUCCGAGCCAGGUGCGGGAUAUAUUCUCGUGGUGCGCCGUUUUUUAAGCCCGUCGGAAAGGCGCAGUAUUUGGGUAGGAGUGACCCGAUUUUCCAGUGAGAUGAACCCGGUACCUCAGCUGGAAAUGCAGAAAUCACCCGUCUUCUGCGUCGCUCACGCUGGGAGCUGUAGACUGGAGCUGUAGACAGGAGCUGUUCCUAUUCGGGCAUCUUGGCUCCUCCUUGAAAACAAGCCCUGGAAAAACAAAGAAUGGAACACCCCUCCGCUGACUUCAACCAACUGCCUGCUGAUGCGGCCUGACUCCCAGCCCUUUUUGCAGUUUUGAAGUGACAAACUGACUAGGCUACAAAGUAUUCAACCAUGGGCUGGUUCUGGCUGGUUCACCGAGGCUGUGUACAAAGUGUCUUCAUGUCCUGUGUUUCACCUUUUAACAUACAGAACCUAAUUUUACUGCAUUUUAAUGUUAAUUCUCCACUCGAAGGUGAACAUGGGAUGUAUGUAACACAUAUGUUUGCUUAUCAAGCACACAUAUGACCCCCUUUCAUGAAUAUUCAUAGUUCCCCCUGUGACCUGUUGAAUAUGUCUGUUUAGCCAACCUGUUUGGCAUAAAACUCCUAUCCCACCCUAUCUCCCUCAAAGUACCUGUUUGUGGUCUCAGCUGGAGGUGCCACUUCCCAGCCUGCAGUUUGCAACCCUUCUCAAGAAAUAAAGUCUUCCUUUCCAAGUUUA
rnacentral:lncRNA from 1 species